rnacentral:rRNA from 1 species
CGAUAACCGCAUGAAAGUGUGGCUAAUACGGGAUAUUCUGGGUCUGUCGCAUGGUGGGCCUGGGAAAGAAUGCGCCUUUUUUGGUGUUUUUGGUGGGGGAUGGGCUCGCGGCCUAUCAGCUUGUUGGUGGGGUGAUGGCGCGCCAAGGCGGUGACGGGUAGCCGGCCUGAGAGGGUGGACGGUCACACUGGGACUGAGACACGGCCCAGAGUCCUACGGGAGGCAGCAGUGGGGAAUAUUGCACAAUGGGCGCAAGCCUGAUGCAGCGACGCCGCGUGAGGGAUGGAGGCCUUCGGGUUGUGAACCUCUUUCGCCAGUGAAGCAGGCCUGCCUCGUUUGUGGGUGGGUUGACGGUAGCUGGAUAAGAAGCGCCGGCUAACUACGUGCCAGCAGCCGCGGUAAUACGUAGGGCGCGAGCGUUGUCCGGAAUUAUUGGGCGUAAAGAGCUCGUAGGCGGCUGGUCGCGUCUGUCGUGAAAUCCUCUGGCUUAACUGGGGGCUUGCGGUGGGUACGGGCCGGCUUGAGUGCGGUAGGGGAGACUGGAACUCCUGGUGUAGCGGUGGAAUGCGCAGAUAUCAGGAAGAACACCGGUGGCGAAGGCGGGUCUCUGGGCCGUUACUGACGCUGAGGAGCGAAAGCGUGGGGAGCGAACAGGAUUAGAUACCCUGGUAGUCCACGCCGUAAACGUUGGGCACUAGGUGUGGGGGGCCUUUUCCGGGUCUUCCGCGCCGUAGCUAACGCAUUAAGUGCCCCGCCUGGGGAGUACGGCCGCAAGGCUAAAACUCAAAGGAAUUGACGGGGGCCCGCACAAGCGGCGGAGCAUGCGGAUUAAUUCGAUGCAACGCGAAGAACCUUACCAAGGCUUGACAUGUGCCGGUCUGCUCCGGAGACGGGGUUUCCUCCUUUGUGGCGGCUGGUUCACAGGUGGUGCAUGGUUGUCGUCAGCUCGUGUCGUGAGAUGUUGGGUUAAGUCCCGCAAGGAGCGCAACCCUUGUCUCGUGUUGCCAGCACGUUGUGGUGGGGACUCGCGGGAGACUGCCGGGGUCAACUAGGAGGAAGGUGGGGAUGACGUCAAAUCAUCAUGCCCCUUAUGUCUUGGGCUUCACGCAUGCUACAAUGGCCGGUACAGAGGGCUGCGAUACCGUGAGGUGGAGCGAAUCCCUUAAAA